AGUGGCGGAUGGGCGAGUAACACGUGAGGAACCUGCCUUUCACAGGGGAAUAACACUGGGAAACCAGUGCUAAUACCGCAUAGUGAAAGAUGUCCUCGCGCCUGAUUAGCUAUUAGGUGAGGUAACGGCUCACCUAGGUGAUGAUCAGUAGCGGGCAUGAAGGUUGAUAGGCCGCAUUGGGACUGAGACACGGCCGAGACUGCUACGGGAGGCAGCAGUGGGGAAUAUUGGGCAAUGGCGCAAGCCUGACCAAGCAACGCCGCGUGAAGGAAGACGGUCUUCGGAUUGUAAACUUCUUUAGACAGGGACGCGGUACUUGUAGAAUAAGCCACUGCUAACUACGUGCCAGCAGCCGCGGUAAUUC
rnacentral:rRNA from 1 species